GACGAACGUUGGCGGCGUGCCUAAUACAUGCAAGUCAACUGAAAUACCGGUAGCAAUACUGGUAUGGAGGUGGCGCACGGGUGAGUAACACGUAGGUAAUCUGCCUUCAGGUCUGACAUAACCCAUCGAAAGGUGAGCUAAUAUCAGAUGAUGCAGCGGCUUGACAUCAAGACAGUUGUUAAAGCUUCGGCGCCUGAAGAUGAGCCUGCGUCUGAUUAGCUAGUUGGCGGGGUAACGGCCCACCAAGGCUGCGAUCAGUAGCUGGUCUGAGAGGAUGAUCAGUCACACUGGAACUGAGACACGGUCCACGACCCC
rnacentral:rRNA from 1 species